rnacentral:rRNA from 3 species
GAACUUUCCAGAGAUGGACUGGUGCCUUCGGGAACUGUGAGACAGGUGCUGCAUGGCUGUCGUCAGCUCGUGUUGUGAAAUGUUGGGUUAAGUCCCGCAACGAGCGCAACCCUUAUCCUUUGUUGCCAGCGGUUAGGCCGGGAACUCAAAGGAGACUGCCAGUGAUAAACUGGAGGAAGGUGGGGAUGACGUCAAGUCAUCAUGGCCCUUACGACCAGGGCUACACACGUGCUACAAUGGCGCAUACAAAGAGAAGCGACCUCGCGAGAGCAAGCGGACCUCAUAAAGUGCGUCGUAGUCCGGAUUGGAGUCUGCAACUCGACUCCAUGAAGUCGGAAUCGCUAGUAAUCGUGGAUCAGAAUGCCACGGUGAAUACGUUCCCGGGCCUUGUACACACCGCCCGUCACACCAUGGGAGUGGGUUGCAAAAGAAGUAGGUAGCUUAACCUUCGGGAGGGCGCUUACCACUUUGUGAUUCAUGACUGGGGUGAAGUCGUAACAAGGUAACCGUAGGGGAACCUGCGGUUGGA